UGGGAGGCAGCAGUGGGGAAUAUUGCACAAUGGGCGCAAGCCUGAUGCAGCAAUGCCGCGUGAGUGAAGACGGCCUUAGGGUUGUAAAACUCUUUCGCUAGGGAAGAUAAUGACUGUACCUAGUAAAGAAGUCCCGGCUAACUCCGUGCCAGCAGCCGCGGUAAUAGCCUACGGGAGGCAGCAGCCAGCAGCCGCGGU
rnacentral:rRNA from 1 species